ACGUUGGCGGCGUGCCUAACACAUGCAAUGUCGAACGGAGUUUACUCGCUGAUGAAGCUUCGGCAGAAUCUUGAGUAAACUUAGUGGCGGACGGGUGAGUAACGCGUGGGCAACCUGCCUCAUACUGGGGGAUAACAGUUGGAAACGACUGUUAAUACCGCAUAAGCGCACAGAGUCGCAUGACUCAGUGUGAAAAACUCCGGUGGUAUGAGAUGGGCCCGCGUCAGAUUAGCCAGUUGGCGGGGUAACGGCCCACCAAAGCGACGAUCUGUAGCCGGACUGAGAGGUCGGACGGCCACAUUGGGACUGAGACACGGCCCAAACUCCUACGGGAGGCAGCAGUGGGGGAUAUUGCACAAUGGAGGAAACUCUGAUGCAGCGACGCCGCGUGAGUGAAGAAGUAUUUCGGUAUGUAAAGCUCUAUCAGCAGGGAAGAAAGGCUCGCAAGAGAGAUGACGGUACCU
rnacentral:rRNA from 1 species